rnacentral:lncRNA from 1 species
UUCAUAACAUAUCUCUUGGCUUUCUUCGUAUCUGUAUCUAGAGCUUGCCCUGAAAAAGGCAAUAGCUCCAAGAAUUUAUCCGUGAACUCCUCUACACCCAUGUGCUCUGACUGCCUCAGUUGCUCAAACUCAAUCAUCUUCAGUUCUCUGGAACUGUCUGGAAAAGCCCAUCCCGCGAACUCAUUCGCGAAUUCCUCCCAUGUCAUGCCGUCUAGUCUCGGGUCCACAUAACACUUGAACCAUUCCCGUGCCUUCUUGCACUUUAAGGUGAACCCUGCCAUCUGAAUGGCCCUGCUAUCAUCCGCCCCUAGCUCAUCAGUUAUUGUCUUCA